rnacentral:lncRNA from 1 species
AGGCCCUGGCGGCGUAACCUCCCGGACGGCGCUUGGCGACAGCAGGCAUUUAAAAAAUUUUAACCAUUCAUGAGUUGAGCCUCAUUCUUGAGUUAUGGAUGACAAGGCCUCUGUUGGAAAAAUCAGUGUCUCUUCAGACUCAGUGUCCACUCUUAAUAGUGAAGAUUUUGUCUUGGUUUCCAGGCAAGGAGAUGAGACACCAUCUACAAAUAAUGGGAGUGAUGAUGAGAAGACGGGACUCAAGAUUGUAGGGAAUGGGAGUGAACAGCAGCUUCAGAAAGAGCUAGCAGAUGUGCUGAUGGAUCCUCCCAUGGACGACCAGCCAGGGAUGGAAAGGUCACACCUGGAUGGGGAAGGAGAUGGGCCUCUUUCUAAUCAGCUCUCAGCUUCAUCCACCAUUAAUCCUGUGCCCCUGGUAGGGCUUCAGAAACCAGAGAUGAGCCUGCCAGUGAAAUCU